rnacentral:lncRNA from 1 species
UAGGAUGUUUAUUGUAAUUUAUCUUCCAGACUCAUGUAAUUGAUAUUUAUAAUUAAUAAAAUAAGAUAUUUUUAUUUCAUUAUAUGCUGCAUCUUAUUUAUUUUAAGAUUAUAAUGAACCCCAUAAAUUUGGGCAAUGAUUUUAUGGUCGUGAUGAGAUCACAUCAGUGAGAUCUAAUUCUUUGAUAGUCCUAACCUAAAAUAUUUUUAAUCAUUAGUACAUUGAG